CUGUUGAGAACUAUAUAAUUUAAAAUUAUUGUAUAGGCCUAAAAUUAGCCACUACGAGAGUUUGUUAUAAAACAAUAAGAAUACAUAAGAAUAUUAUUAUAUAUAAUGCCAUAUAAAGCUAUAAGAAUAAUAACCUAAAUUUAUAGGUUAGUAUGCCUAUGCUAGGAUGAGUAUUAAAACUAUUUAAGUUGAAAGAGAUAUUUCCUAAACUAAUAUUUUCUAUACUAAUUAAGGAGAAGGAAUUCGGCAAAUGUUGUUCCGCCUGUUUAUCAAAAACAUGGCUCUUUGAGGAAACCAUAUAAAGAGUCGAACCUGCCCAGUGAAUAAUUUUAACGGCCGCGGUACCCUGACCGUGCAAAGGUAGCAUAAUCAUUUGCCUUAUAAUUGAAGGCUGGCAUGAAUGGUCUGACGAGAGCAACACUGUCUCCUCUUUAUUACUUAAAAAUUAACUUAUAGGUGAAGAGGCCUAUAUUAAAUUGAAG
rnacentral:rRNA from 1 species